CACCAGCCCCUCGAGUGGUGGGGAUGAUUAUUUGGCCUAAAGCGUCCGUAGCCGGCCGGGUAAGUUUCCCGUUAAAUCCAGCGUCUCAAGCGUUGGACUGCGGGAAAUACUGCCUGGCUAAAGAGUGGGAGAGGUCAGCGGUAUUCUGGGGGUAGGGGCGAAAUCCUUUGAUCCCCGGAGGACCACCAGUGGCGAAGGCUGCUGACUAGAACACGUCUGACGGUCAGGGACGAAAGCUGGGGUAGCGAACCGGAUUAGAUACCCGGGUAGUCCCAGCCGUAAACGAUGCAUGCUAGGUGUUGGGUUGGCCACGAGCCACCCCAGUGCCGCAGGGAAGCCGUUAAGCAUGCCGCCUGGGAAGUACGAUCGCAAGAUUGAAACUUAAAGGAAUUGGCGGGGGAGCACCACCAGGCGUGAAGCCUGCGGUUU
rnacentral:rRNA from 1 species